UACAGAGGGUGCAAGCGUUAAUCGGAAUUACUGGGCGUAAAGCGCACGCAGGCGGAUAUUUAAGUCGGAUGUGAAAUCCCCGGGCUCAACCUGGGAAUUGCACCCGAUACUGGAUAUCUAGAGUAUGGUAGAGGAAAGUGGAACUCCCGGUGUAGCGGUGAAAUGCGUAGAUAUCGGGAAGAACACCAGUGGCGAAGGCGACUUUCUGGACCAAUACUGACGCUCAGGUGCGAAAGCGUGGGGAGCAAACAGG
rnacentral:misc_RNA from 1 species